UACGUAGGGUGCGAGCGUUAAUCGGAAUUACUGGGCGUAAAGCGUGCGCAGGCGGUUUGUUAAGACAGAUGUGAAAUCCCCGGGCUUAACCUGGGAACUGCAUUUGUGACUGGCAAGCUAGAGUAUGGCAGAGGGGGGUAGAAUUCCACGUGUAGCAGUGAAAUGCGUAGAGAUGUGGAGGAAUACCGAUGGCGAAGGCAGCCCCCUGGGCCCAAUACUGACGCUCAUGCACGAAAGCGUGGGGAGCAA
rnacentral:rRNA from 1 species